rnacentral:rRNA from 1 species
AUGUAUGUGGCAAACCGUGCUUCAAACAAGAUCAGUCAGCUCGCAGAUAAUGUCUACGUCUGCCGCUCUGGAUCUGUAAAGCAUGUUGCAAGCUGGAUGAUAGUCGGUGGAUGGGAUAAAUAUGAGGGGGGCCAAAUUCACUCGGUCCCUCUUGGUGGAACGAUCUUGAGGCAGCCAUUCGCAAUUGGAGGAUCUGGUUCCAGUUACCUGUAUGGGUUGAUGGAUCAUCAAUGGAAAGAGGGUAUGACCCAGGAAGAAGCUGAGAUGAUCGUCCAGGUGAUUUCGACGCCGGAGGUCGCCGAGGUGGAGGACCUCGACGCCAUCGUCCGAGGGAGGGAGGAAUUUGACGUCGCGGUCCGGGACAAUCGUCUUUGGCACUCCAUGUAG